rnacentral:lncRNA from 1 species
UGUGAAUAUUGUGUAUUGCAGUCAUGUUACGAUAUUGGAGAUCUAGAGCUUCUUAAAAACACCUUAGGCACAUCGGAAUAUAGCCGAGAACUCAGUAUCACUGCACGCAGCUGCAUAGAAUGGUGUAAAGGAUCGGUGGUCUGCACCACCGAGACGUGCAAAUGCAGAAAAACUAUGGUAUUCGUGGAAGUAAAUGUCACCCAAAACAGUAACAGUGGUCAGCGAAAUCUAAUCCAAAGCACGCAUCUCACGAGACUUUAACGAGAUUGUCAUUUUGAUUCUAUCACGACAAGUACACCACCUCGCUUCGAUUUAUUUUACAUCAAGCAUUUCAAAACAGCAUAAUGUAAGGGACGACAUCAAAAGUUCAAUGUAGGAUAAAAAACUUAAUUCACAUAGUGUUUUCACUGACACCCCCACCCCCCUCUUAACUUAAUUUAGGAAAAAUUGAUUUACCAAUAGGGAUAUAUGUAAAAAUCGAUUUUAAAUAUACAAAACUUGUAGAAUUUUAACCCCCCACCCCCAAACUAUUUGAUUUAAGUUUUUUAUCCUACAUCGAUCUUUUGAUGUCGUCCCUAAGUAUAUAUUUCAAUUUCGUAUAUGAAUUACCUUGUUUUAUUCAGUUUGUAGUAGUUAUUAGUUAAAAUAUUGCGACGAUUAACGUUUUAAUGCAGUAUAUAAUGAGGGGAAAGCUUGGCCGACAUGCACGUUAUGGAAAUUUUUAACAAGGUCGUAAUUUUUAUCAAAACAUUUUCAUUCGAAAAGGAAUAAAACAAUUUGUGUGAUGAAUAAUUUUCCCCCAGACAUAUUGUUUUUUGUGUAAUAAGUUGUUAUUUCAUAUUUUCACCCACUUUUAUGCAAUUUACAAUUAAAAAUCAGUAUUUUAGUUGUCGGCCAUUUUUUUUUUGCUUCAAUAUCAAGACAGACCCCUGUCUGUUUACACUUUAUAAACUUUUCCGUCUUCAGAGAAAUAUUGUACCCCAGCACAUGCAUUACUUUCCUAUGACAAACUGGAUUGGGAUAUAGAGGUUGUUUUUUCAUAUUUUCAACCACUUUGAUGCAAUUUACAAUUAAAAAUCAGUAUUCUGGUUGUCGGCAUGUUUUUUUUGGCUUCAAUAUCAAGACAGACCCCUGUCUGUUUACACUUUAUAAACUUUUCCGUCUUCAGAGAAAUAUUGUACCCAGCACAUGCAUUACUUUCCUAUGACAAACUGGAUUGGGAUAUAGAGGUUGUUUUUUUCAUAUUUUCAACCACUUUGAUGCAAUUUACAAUCAAAAAUCAGUAUUAUAGCUGUCGGCCAUGGUGUUUUGCUUCAAUACCAAGAGAGACCCCUGUCCGUUUACACUUUAUAAACUUUUGCAUCUUCAGAGAAUUAUUGUACCCAGCACAUGCAUUACUUUCCUAUGACUUUGAUGCAAUUUACAAUUAAAAAUAAGUAUUUUAGGUGUUGGCCUUGUUCAUUUUAUUCAAUAUUUAGAGAGACCUUUGUAAAAGGCUACAGAUUAUAAACUUGUCAAUCUUUAGAGAAUAAAUGUACCAAUAACAUGAAUAACAUUGCUAUGACAUACUGGAUAUGUGUACACAAGUUGUAUUUUUCAUAUUUUCACCAACUGUGAUGCAAUUUACAAUUAAAAACAGUAUUAUAGCUGUCGGUCAUUUUAAUAUUCUUCAAUAUACAGACAGACCCCUGUCCGUGGCUACAGUUUAUAAACUUGUCCAUCUUUAGAGAAAAAUUGUACCCAUCACAUGAUUUAAUUUCACAAGACGCUGGAUUUGUGUAUAAAAAUUGUUUUUUUUUUUUCAUUAUUUCCACCACUUUGAUGACAUUUACAAUUUUAUAUAUAUAUAUUUACAUUCAGUAUCUGACAGCUUUUUUUUAACAGGAUCCUGCAUGUUAUAAAGAACAAGGAUGUUGAUCAAAUUUUCCUAACAGUGCAGCAUACAAGAGAUAUAAUAUCAUACAUGAAUGUAGGACUCCCAAGUCUUUCUGAUUGAAAAUAAGACUCCCUGGCAAACAGGAACAACUAUUAGUGAUGACUUUAUCCAAAUGUGAUACUUAACAAUGGUUUUGUAAGAGAGAAAAUUACAUGUGCUUAUCCUGACUGUAAAAACACCAUACUAUUGUAGUUCAUAUGCCAAACUUGAUGUACAUGUGUAUGCGAUUUUUGUGCAAUUGAUGACGAGACCAUUGAACUAAAAACAAAUACAAGACUCUGCAUUCAAUCUAUUGAAUUUGAAGCAGAAGUAAUACAGUGGCAGUUGUGCAGAUGGAUAAAAAAGCAAAUAAAUAUCUUGUGUUCAACUUCAAUUGUCUUCUUUAUGUUUACAAAGUAUACAUGUACAUGUAUAACAAUAUGGUGAUGUAGUAUGAUUGCUAAUGAGACAAUGAUUUACAUGUAUGACUAUCAUUGGAAGGCCACUCUAUAAUAUCUUUGUACAUCAUGAGAAUGGACAAUGCUACCCUUGUAGCAUAAAGGUAGCAUAAUGUAAAAAAAGAGAAACUAUUCAUUUAUCUUACAACACCCCUGUGAUAUAUCUUGACAGUACUAAAUAGCAAAAUAUUUCGUUUCACAAAUUCCUUCCUCUCCAUGGAAAGUAACAUAUUUAAUUGUUUACAUGAAAUGACAAAAUGUGUAAAAAAAGAAGCAAGAAAUGUUCACUCUACUACUGUACACUAGUCGCUCACAUUGGUCACCAUCUGUGUUUGUUUCAGUCCUUUAACAAAUUGUCAAUGGUGCUUAUUUAUAUUUAUCUGUUUCAGUUUUACAUGUCCUCAUUCUGUGAUCACUAUUUCACCUCUCCUGUUUUAAAAAAAAAUGUUUAUGCUAAUAUUUUCUGCAAUAAAUUGAAAAGGCACAGAUGCUAUGACUAAACAGAAAUGUGAGGUAUAUGUCAUUGAGACAACAACCCAACGACAACAAUAUUCUUUGCACAUCUAUGAAUGUUUAAGAAUUCUUGUGAAGGUCAAAAGCACAUAACAUGUACUUAUAUAUCCAUAACCUGGUACAUGUAUGUACCUAUUGAUGCAUUCCGUCCUAAACAUAAGUUGUGUGAAGAGACCAAGCAGUUUAUAU